AGUAAGUUUUAUGAUUAAGCUACUAAGGGCGUACGGUGGAUGCCUUGGCGCCAGAAGGCGAAGAAGGACGUGGCAAGCUGCGAUAAGCCUCGGGGAGCCGCAAGCAGGCUUUGAUCCGAGGAUUUCCGAAUGGGGAAACCCGGCGGGAUGAACUCCCGCUACAGCCCGCUGAAUACAUAGGCGGGUAUGAGCCAACCCAGGGAAGUGAACCAUCUCAGUACCUGGAGGAAAAUAAAUCACAGAGAUUCCGAAAGUAGCGGCGAGCGAAAUCGGAACAGCCCAAACCCAAUUGUUUACAAUUGGGGGUUGUAGGACCGCAUAAGUAGAGUUACCAAACCGGACAUUAGGUGAACCCGCUGGAAAGCGGGGCCAUAGAAUGUGAGAGCCAUGUAACCGAAAAUGGACCGGACUCGAAGCGGUAUCCUGAGUACCACCGGACACGUGUAAUCUGGUGGGAAACUGGGGAGACCACUCUCCAAGGCUAAAUACUCUCUGGCGACCGAUAGUGAACCAGUACCGUGAGGGAAAGGCGAAAAGCACCCCUGCGAGGGGAGUGAAAUAGAACCUGAAACCGUAUGCUUACAAGCAGUCGGAGGGCCAUGCAUGGACUUCGGUCCGUGAAAGCCUGACGGCGUGCCUCUUGCUUAAUGAGCCGGCUAGUUAUUCUUACGUGCAAGGUUAAGCGCAAGCGAGCCGUAGCG
rnacentral:rRNA from 1 species